UUUUUUUUAUUAUUAUUAAUUUUUUUCUUACUAAUUUGAUGUGAUCAUGUCUCAGGUUCCCCGUGGGUUUCCCACUGGCAAGUUUUGUUGCAGAAUGCUGCCCCCUGGCUGGAGAAGAGAUUGGAGAUUGUUACUCAAAAAAGCUGAAGGCCAUGUCCAAGUUCAUUUGCACCUCCAAGAAGUCGGCCAAUCCUGCUGUGCGCCGCUGUUGCCGCAUGCCUGCAAACGCCUUCCCAGGAUGCAUGUCAACAGUCCUCUUGAAUGCCAUCGACAAAGCAACCAAAGAGCAGAGCAAGAAAAGAAAGUGCCCAAUUUCCUAAAACUCUUAUGACCCUCUGCUGUCGACCCCUUCAGCUUUGUGGGAAAAUGGUACAGGUGGAGCAGAGGUCACCUAGAGCCACUAAAACAAAGAAAAUACUGCAGCACAAAUUCUACUUAAAGGUCCACCAAUUAAAAGACGUGUGGAUCAUUGUUUAGCUUCACCUGCAGCACAUUAAGUGGAAUUAUUGCUAAUUAACGCCUGCAUUCAAAGAUAAAUAACCAAAAACAAUGCAUUGUUUAUGGAUCGUACUUUUUGUGUCUCUGUACUACUGGUUUUGUACGCUGCUUUUAUAUGUUUGAUCUCAAAUUACGUACCACUGUUUUCUUUUUUUUAUACAUUUAUUAUGUGUACAAUGGUAUUUACAACACAACUAAUAAAAUAGAUCAAAUAAAUAAA